UACAGAGGGGGCAAGCGUUGUUCGGAAUUACUGGGCGUAAAGGGCGCGUAGGCGGCCCGCUAAGUCGAACGUGAAAUCCCCAGGCUCAACCUGGGAACUGCGUCCGAUACUGGCAGGCUUGAAUCCGGGAGAGGGAUGUGGAAUUCCAGGUGUAGCGGUGAAAUGCGUAGAUAUCUGGAGGAACACCGGUGGCGAAGGCGGCGUCCUGGACCAACACUGACACUGAUGAGCGAAAGCCAGGGGAGCAAACGGG
rnacentral:rRNA from 1 species